AGAUGUAUAAUUUAAUUAUAUAAUAUGAAAAGAGUUUGAGUUAUAUAGGUGUAUGAAAUGUUGGAAUAAAGAUAAAAAGAUUAUGUUAUCUUUUAUCUCUUAUAUUGUACAUCCAUUUCGGACUAAGAUUCAUUUCCUUUGGUGGUGCAGCAAGUAAAUUACAGUAAUGCUAGAAAAUGAGAAAAAGAAGGUUGGUUUCAGCAAUUUAGAGGAUCUUUGCAGAUAGCUCCUAGGAGAAAGUGGCUGAUUUACAUGGAAACCCGAACUGCUAAAUUCAAUCUUGCGGAAGUUCUUGAGGCUGUCAUGAGUCAGAUUUAGGGAUCAGAAGCAUAGCUUGUGGUUGUCCCGGCCUUGGAAUGAUUAGCAUAUCAAUGAAGAUGCAAGGUUUAAAUGAGGCUAUAUUGAUUAUAUAUAUUUCUUGUACUUGUA